UAUUUUAUUGUAUGAUGUGAAUUUUAUAAGCAUAUAUAUGUGUAUAUUUAUGUAUUGUUAUAUAUUAAAUAUAUACAGCUGCGAUCUGGACGAACGACGCUACAUUGGCGUUGCUAGCGUUGUAUGAAGCUAACAUGUAUAUGCUAGAUCAUCCUAAAAAAAAAUAUGGCUAGCUAUCGCAGAUGAUCUAAGAGAUUUCAACAUUGAGAUGUCAUCACAGCAAGUAAGAUGGAAAAUGAAUGCCUUAACAAACGAUACAAAGAAUGUAUUGACAGCAACAAUAAAACUGGAAGAGAUGCUGUUGAAUUUCAAUGGUUCGAUCAACUCGAUGAAAUUUUCGGGAAAAACAAAAAAAACAAUGUUAAAUCUUAUACUGUUUCAACGAAGUUGCCUUCCUAGAUGACAUCUAAGAAUAAAGAAUAUAACACAACAGCCACUAACGAACAGAGUAAAGAUAAAGGAAAGAAAAAAAAGGAUGUUGCAUGAAUGAUGUCUCAUUUUGAGGUGAAAAAUACAAAGCGUACGGUCCUUGAAGAGAUCUGCUCAUCAUCAAAUAUAGCUGCAAAUAAGCAAGUUAUUGAAGACGUAACAGCAACGAUGCAGCCCGAGACGUUAAAAAAGUUACGUCCAGCAUACGGAACUGCUUCAAACAUUGCAAAAAGUAAAAUUGAACUCGGAAAGCAGUGGCAUCAAUAUCUGCAAGAUAAAGUUAAAAGAGAGGUUAAAGAGAAACGGUACAACGACAUAAUGAAAAAGAGGGAAGAAUUACUACAAU
rnacentral:lncRNA from 1 species